rnacentral:rRNA from 1 species
GACGUAGGGGGCGAGCGUUGUCCGGAUUUAUUGGGCGUAAAGAGCUCGUAGGCGGCUUGUCGCGUCGACUGUGAAAACCCGAGGCUCAACUUCGGGCUUGCAGUCGAUACGGGCAGGCUAGAGUUCGGUAGGGGAGACUGGAAUUCCUGGUGUAGCGGUGAAAUGCGCAGAUAUCAGGAGGAACACCGAUGGCGAAGGCAGGUCUCUGGGCCGAUACUGACGCUGAGGAGCGAAAGCGUGGGGAGCGAACAGG